CCUACGGGGGCUGCAGUGGGGAAUAUUGGACAAUGGGCGAAAGCCUGAUCCAGCCAUGCCGCGUGUGUGAAGAAGGCCUUCGGGUUGUAAAGCACUUUCAGUGGGGAAGAAAGCCUUGGGGCUAAUACCCUCGAGGAAGGACAUCACCCACAGCAGAAGCACCGGCUAACUCCGUGCCAGCAGCCGCGGUAAUACGGAGGGUGCGAGCGUUAAUCGGAAUUACUGGGCGUAAAGCGCGCGUAGGCGGUCUGAUAAGCCGGUUGUGAAAGCCCCGGGCUCAACCUGGGAACGGCAUCCGGAACUGUCAGGCUAGAGUGCAGGAGAGGAAGGUAGAAUUCCCGGUGUAGCGGUGAAAUGCGUAGAGAUCGGGAGGAAUACCAGUGGCGAAGGCGGCCUUCUGGACUGACACUGACGCUGAGGUGCGAAAGCGUGGGUAGCAAACAGGAUUAGAUACCCCUGUAGUC
rnacentral:rRNA from 1 species